GCGCUCUGAGUGUAACGGUAACAUUCGCCCUUUCGUUCAAAAGGGGUGGUCCCGGGUUCGACUCCCGGAGGGCGCC